rnacentral:rRNA from 1 species
UGAGGAAUAUUGGUCAAUGGGCGAGAGCCUGAACCAGCCAAGUCGCGUGAGGGAAGACGGUCCUAUGGAUUGUAAACCUCUUUUGUCGGGGGAGCAAGGCCACUCACGAGUGAGUGGAAGGAGAGUACCCGAAGAAAAAGCAUCGGCUAACUCCGUGCC